CAUGUCUUUGGAGGCGGGAGAAAGCCGGACUACCCUGAGGGAACCCACGCAGUCACGGGGAGAACAUGCAAACUCCACACAGAAAGAUCCCGAGCCUGGGAUUGAAGUCAGGACUUUCGUAUUGUGAGGCACAUGCACUAACCCCUGCUUCACUGUGCUGCCCUGCCGCACUGCCAUCCUCAGUAAAGAAGUGCCCCUGGGGGAGGCAGAUUCAGGCCAGAUGCCUCCGUCCUCUCCUCCUCCUCAAUGCAAGUCUCCAGAUAUGCUACUGCCACCGGCUAGCCCUCCUUACGGAGGGUGAAAAGAAGAGCCGAGCGCGUAAGCCUCCUCUUGCCGAUACACAGCCUCUCCACCACCAAGACUCCUACAGUGCCUCCUCACUGCCACACACGGUAACUGGGACCUCACGGUCUCAGGCUAAGCUGUAGGGAAUCCCGGAGCAGCAGUGGGCCCCAGAGGCGAGCUGUGCAGGCCCACCGGUGUGUGGACACGCCCUGGCAUCCGCCGACCACUGCCCCAUCUAUGGGUCAAAUAGUUGUCAUCCCCCCCGACCCCCAGCCGCUGCCUUGUGGUACCUUUGGGAGAAGGAAAGGUUACGGGAGAAAACCCAGACAGAAAAUCAGGAGUGGAGCCCCUGAGGCGACUGGGUGUCAUUGCCGGAGAUGUAUUACCUUGUUUUUCUCUGGGCCACAUCGACACGGCCGAGAGGGGGAUCUUGAUGUCUGGGCAACCCAAGAUCUCCAUACUUUCUGCCCAGGCUUGCGCCACGGAGAGGUCACUCCAGCUGCCCCCCAAAAGGGAGGAAACAACACGGAAGCUGGCAGUCUUAAGAUCCACCCGAUUGGUGCCAGCUUCGACGGUGGGAGGAAUUAUUGACUCAAAAAAGAAUGAACUCACCCCAGGCGCCAUCGUCACUACUGACGGACGGAUGCCUAUGAUGGUCCAAUUAACCCAAAUAGCAAAGAGAAAUAAAAAAGGCAUGUACACAAACAGCUUGGGCCUAAAAGGGGAACAUUAUCACAAUUUCAGAAGGGUUAAAACCAAUAAAAAUCAGUUCCCAGUGGCUUAUUUUAUUCUUCGAAAUUUUUUUCAAAAUUUUACCCGUGCCGGAAUAUCCCUAAAAAAAGCUUUAAAGUGCUUGAUUUUCGUUAUUUCCCUGUGACGUCACAUAGCGAUUCUAAUACAAACAAUGGCAAAUAGCACAGCAAGAUAUAGCGACAUUAGCUUGGAUUCAGACUCGGAUUUCAGCGGCUUAAGCGAUUCAACAGAUUACGCAUGUAUUGAAACAGAUGGUUGGAGUAUGGAGGCAGAUAGCGAAAACAAAGUUGAAGAAGAAACUGAAGCUAUUGAGCAAAAUGCUAUUGAUGCUAUUUGGCCAUCUUCGCGUUAGCAUCGCCGGUAAAAUGUGCAGACCAACCGAUCAGGACUUUUGCAUUGACACUGGAUCAACUUAAAUCCACUGAUUGGUAAGUGUUUGUUUGGCAUUGAAUGUAGGUGGAAGGAAACACUGGAUGUAAAUAUAGUUUCAAAUGUACAUACAGGUAGCCUAAAUAGCAUGUUAGCAUUGAUUAGCUGGCAGUCAUGCCGCCACCAAAUAUGUCUGAUUAGCACAUAAGUCAAUAAAGGCAACAACACUCACCUUUGUGGUUUUCUUUGUCUUUAUCGUUGGAAAUGCAUCUGCUUUGAGUGUCGCAGGAUAUCCACACAAUCUUGCCAUCUCUGUCCCAUCGCUGUCGUAGCAUCGCCGAUAAAAACCAA